CCUACGGGAGGCAGCAGUGAGGAAUAUUGGUCAAUGGGCGCGAGCCUGAACCAGCCAAGUCGCGUGAGGGAAGACGGUCCUAUGGAUUGUAAACCUCUUUUGUCGGGGAGCAAAAGACGCCACGCGUGGCGUUCCGAGAGUACCCGAAGAAAAAGCAUCGGCUAACUCCGUGCCAGCAGCCGCGGUAAUACGGAGGAUGCGAGCGUUAUCCGGAUUUAUUGGGUUUAAAGGGUGCGCAGGCGGGCUGUUAAGCCGGCGGUAAAAAUUCAGGGCUCAACCCUGUCGAGCCGUCGGAACUGGCAGUCUUGAGUGGGCGAGAAGUAUGCGGAAUGCGUGGUGUAGCGGUGAAAUGCAUAGAUAUCACGCAGAACGCCGAUUGCGAAGGCAGCAUACCGGCGCCCAACUGACGCUGAGGCACGAAAGCGUGGGGAUCGAACAGGAUUAGAUACCCGUGUAGUC
rnacentral:rRNA from 1 species